rnacentral:ncRNA from 1 species
GGGGGCCCCCAUCGUGAUGGACACUAGCUGUCCGGAGCGUGCAGGGGCCGCAGAGACCAGGGGGAAGCGACUGUUUACUAAAAACACAGGUCCGUGCGAAGUCGCAAGACGAUGUAUACGGACUGACUCCUGCCCGGUGCUGGAAGGUUAAGAGGACCGGUUAGCCUGUAAGGGCGAAGCUGAGAAUUUAAGCCCCAGUAAACGGCGGUGGUAACUAUAACCAUCCUAAGGUAGCGAAAUUCCUUGUCGGGUAAGUUCCGACCUGCACGAAUGGAGUAACGACUUCCCCGCUGUCUCAACCAUAAACUCGGCGAAAUUGCAGUACGAGUAAAGAUGCUCGUUACGCGCAGCAGGACGGAAAGACCCCGAGACCUUUACUAUAGUUUGGUAUUGGUGUUCGGAGUGGCUUGUGUAGGAUAGGUGGGAGACGUUGAAGCCCGGACGCCAGUUCGGGUGGAGUCAUCGUUGAAAUACCACUCUGGUCACUUUGGACAUCUAACUUCGGCCCGUAAUCCGGGUCAGGGACAGUGCCUGAUGGGUAGUUUAACUGGGGCGGUUGCCUCCUAAAAAGUAACGGAGGCGCCCAAAGGUUCCCUCAGCCUGGUUGGCAAUCAGGUGUCGAGUGUAAGUGCACAAGGGAGCUUGACUGUGAGAGAGACAUCUCGAGCAGGGACGAAAGUCGGGACUAGUGAUCCGGCGGUACAUUGUGGAAUGGCCGUCGCUCAACGGAUAAAAGGUACCUCGGGGAUAACAGGCUGAUCUUGCCCAAGAGUCCAUAUCGACGGCAUGGUUUGGCACCUCGAUGUCGGCUCGUCGCAUCCUGGGGCUGGAGUAGGUCCCAAGGGUUGGGCUGUUCGCCCAUUAAAGCGGUACGCGAGCUGGGUUUAGAACGUCGUGAGACAGUUCGGUCCCUAUCCGCUGCGCGCGCAGGAAAUUUGAGAAGGGCUGUCCUUAGUACGAGAGGACCGGGACGGACGAACCUCUGGUGUGUCAGUUGUACUGCCAAGUGCACCGCUGAUUAGCUACGUUCGGAUGGGAUAACCGCUGAAAGCAUCUAAGCGGGAAGCUCGCUUCGAGAUGAGAUUUCCAUACACUUUAUUGUGUGAGAGGCCCCCAGCCAGACCACUGGGUUGAUAGGCCGGAUGUGGAAGCGAGGACUAACGACUCGUGAAGCUGACCGGUACUAAUAGGCCRAYAACUUA